rnacentral:lncRNA from 1 species
AGUGGCAUCCAGGGCUGCUACACUUAAGUCAGAGGCUGCACUGUCACCCUGGGCAACUUUACCAAGCCCAUAUUUGAUGCCAAGACCUAUAGCUACCUGACCCCCAACAUCUGGAAAGAGAUAGUAUCACCAGGUCUUCCUAUUAGGAAUUCACUAACCAUCUUGUCAAGACCCAAACCAGAGUUUCUGUAUAGAGGAUCCAGGCUCCAACUGUGGCUACA